rnacentral:rRNA from 1 species
GACGAACGCUGGCGGCGUGCUUAACACAUGCAAGUCGAACGGAAAGGCCCUGCUUUUGUGGGGUGCUCGAGUGGCGAACGGGUGAGUAACACGUGAGUAACCUGCCCUUGACUUUGGGAUAACUUCAGGAAACUGGGGCUAAUACCGGAUAGGAGCUCCUGCUGCAUGGUGGGGGUUGGAAAGUUUCGGCGGUUGGGGAUGGACUCGCGGCUUAUCAGCUUGUUGGUGGGGUAGUGGCUUACCAAGGCUUUGACGGGUAGCCGGCCUGAGAGGGUGACCGGCCACAUUGGGACUGAGAUACGGCCCAGACUCCUACGGGAGGCAGCAGUGGGGAGUAUUGCACAAUGGGCGGAAGCCUGAUGCAGCAACGCCGCGUGCGGGAUGACGGCCUUCGGGUUGUAAACCGCUUUCGCCUGUGACGAAGCGUGAGUGACGGUAAUGGGGAAAGAAGCACCGGCUAACUACGU